rnacentral:misc_RNA from 1 species
GAUGAAGAACGCAGCGAAAUGCGAUAAGUAAUGUGAAUUGCAGAAUUCAGUGAAUCAUCGAAUCUUUGAACGCACCUUGCACUCCUUGGCAUUCCGAGGAGUACGCCUGUUCGAGUGUUAUGAAGCUCUCAAAACGCAAUUGGCUUAAAACCUGAUUGUUGUUUUGGAUUUGAACUUUGCCGUGUUAUAACGGCUGGUUUUAAAAGUAUUAGCUGGUACUAGAACGAAUUGGUUCUACUCAACGUGAUAAUUAUCUGAUCGUUGAGGACAUUCCUUUCACGAGGAAUGGCCAUAGUAAAUUCAAUGGACUGCUUCUAAUCUGGCUUUAAUUCUUUAUUGGAUUAACCACUUUUCAAAUCUGACCUCGAAUCAGGUGGGACUACCCGCUGAACUUAAGCAUAUCAAUAACGGAGGA